rnacentral:misc_RNA from 1 species
CUGGGCUCAAAUUUAGAUUGUUCUUCAACAAAAGAACGUUACAGAUAGCGAGGAGAGGGCAAGGUCCAUUGUCGUUUUGGAGAACAAUAGGAGUAGUGCGGCCCAAAAACUGUAUCGUCUUCGUUUUGUGGACGCACUCCUCUUUCAACGCCUCUUGUUGAUUCUGUUCUUGUCUUGGUUCUUCGGUCACCGAAGAAGUACAAGCCAUUUCCAUGAAAU